rnacentral:rRNA from 1 species
GACGAACGCUGGCGGCACGCUUAACACAUGCAAGUCGAACGAGAGAAGAGAAGCUUGCUUUUCUGAUCUAGUGGCGGACGGGUGAGUAACACGUGAGCAAUCUGCCUUUCAGAGGGGGAUACCGAUUGGAAACGAUCGUUAAUACCGCAUAAUAUAAUUGAACCGCAUGAUUUGAUUAUCAAAGAUUUAUCGCUGAAAGAUGAGCUCGCGUCUGAUUAGCUAGUUGGUAAGGUAACGGCUUACCAAGGCGACGAUCAGUAGCCGGACUGAGAGGUUGAUCGGCCACAUUGGGACUGAGACACGGCCCAGACUCCUACGGGAGGCAGCAGUGGGGAAUAUUGCACAAUGGAGGAAACUCUGAUGCAGCGAUGCCGCGUGAGGGAAGAAGGUUUUAGGAUUGUAAACCUCUGUCUUCAGGGACGAAAAAAGACGGUACCUGAGGAGGAAGCUCCGGCUAACUACGUGCCAGCAGCCGCGGUAAUACGUAGGGAGCGAGCGUUGUCCGGAAUUACUGGGUGUAAAGGGAGCGUAGGCGGGAUCGCAAGUCAGAUGUGAAAACUAUGGGCUUAACCCAUAAACUGCAUUUGAAACUGUGGUUCUUGAGUGAAGUGGAGGUAAGCGGAAUUCUUAGUGUAGCGGUGAAAUGCGUAGAUAUUAGGAGGAACAUCAGUGGCGAAGGCGGCUUACUGGGCUUUAACUGACGCUGAGGCUCGAAAGCGUGGGGAGCAAACAGGAUUAGAUACCCUGGUAGUCCACGCCGUAAACGAUGAUUACUAGGUGUGGGGGGACUGACCCCUUCCGUGCCGCAGCAAACGCAAUAAGUAAUCCACCUGGGGAGUACGACCGCAAGGUUGAAACUCAAAGGAAUUGACGGGGGCCCGCACAAGCAGUGGAGUAUGUGGAUUAAUUCGAAGCAACGCGAAGAACCUUACCAGGUCUUGACAUCGUAUGCAUAGCUCAGAGAUGAGUGAAAUCUCUUCGGAGACAUAUAGACAGGUGGUGCAUGGUUGUCGUCAGCUCGUGUCGUGAGAUGUUGGGUUAAGUCCCGCAACGAGCGCAACCCUUACUGUUAGUUGCUACGCAAGAGCACUCUAGCAGGACUGCCGUUGACAAAACGGAGGAAGGUGGGGAUGACGUCAAAUCAUCAUGCCCCUUAUGACCUGGGCCUCACACGUACUACAAUGGCUGUCAACAGAGGGAAGCAAAGCCGCGAGGUGGAGCGAACCCCUAAAAGCAGUCUUAGUUCGGAUUGUAGGCUGCAACCCGCCUACAUGAAGUCGGAAUUGCUAGUAAUCGCAGAUCAGCAUGCUGCGGUGAAUACGUUCCCGGGCCUUGUACACACCGCCCGUCACGCCAUGGGAGUCGGUAACACCCGAAGCCUGUAGUCUAACCGCAAGGAGGACGCAGUCGAAGGUGGGAUUGAUGACUGGGGUG